UACGUAGGGUGCGAGCGUUAAUCGGAAUUACUGGGCGUAAAGCGUGCGCAGGCGGUUUUGUAGGCCAGGUGUGAAAUCCCCGGGCUCAACCUGGGAAUGGCAUUUGGGACUGCAAGGCUGGAGUGUGGCAGAGGAGACUGGAAUUCCUGGUGUAGCAGUGAAAUGCGUAGAUAUCAGGAGGAAUACCGAUGGCGAAGGCAGGUCUCUGGGCUGACACUGACGCUCAUGCACGAAAGCGUGGGGAGCAAACAGG
rnacentral:rRNA from 1 species